UCGCUCUUGUUGGAGAAGCAGGGCACGUGCAAACAUAACUUUCUAUUAGUUUGUCUCUCAUUUUGCACGUGCUCCACUUUUCCAACUUGAUUUU
rnacentral:pre_miRNA from 1 species